AAUCAACGCUGGCGGCGUGCCUAACACAUGCAAGUCGAACGCGAGAGGGGCUUCGGCCCUGAUUGAGUGGCAAACGGGUGAGUAACGCGUGGGUGACCUACCUUCGAGUGGGGGAUAACGUUCCGAAAGGGACGCUAAUACCGCAUAACAUCCUGUCUUUGGACAGAUGGAGAUCAAAGCCGGGGACCGUAAGACCUGGCGCUUGAGGAGGGCCCGCGUCCGAUUAGCUAGUUGGUGGGGUAAGGCUCACCAAGGCAACGAUCGGUAGCCGGCCUGAGAGGGCGGACGGCCACACUGGGACUGAGACACGGCCCAGACUCCUACGGGAGGCAGCAGUGGGGAAUUGUUCGC
rnacentral:rRNA from 1 species